rnacentral:misc_RNA from 1 species
GAAAUGCGAUAAGUAAUGUGAAUUGCAGAAUUCCGUGAAUCAUCGAAUCUUUGAACGCACAUUGCGCCCCCUGGUAUUCCGGGGGGCAUGCCUGUCCGAGCGUCAUUGCAACCUUCAAGCGCGGCUUGUGUGUUGGGUCUCGUCCCCCGUGGACGGGCCCGAAAGGCAGUGGCGGCGUCCCGACAUGGUGCCCGAGCGUAUGGGAAUCCUCUUCCGCUCGAAUCGGCCCAUGCGGCGCUGGUCGUAACCAAAUUUUUUUACCGGUUGACCUCGGAUCAGGUAGGGAUACCCGCUGAACUUAA